rnacentral:rRNA from 1 species
UAUGUGAUCGUCUCUCGCAUAUCAAUAAGCGGAGGAAAAGAAACUAACAAGGAUUCCCCUAGUAACGGCGAGUGAAGCGGGAAGAGCUCAAAUUUGAAAUCUUAAAGGGUUUCCCUUUACGAAUUGUAGUUUAAAGAAGUGUUUUCUGUUGAGGUUUUGGUAAAAGUUCUUUGGAAUAGGACAUCAUAGAGGGUGAGAAUCCCGUAUUUGACCUUUACUUUCAACUCUGUGAUACACUUUCAAAGAGUCGGAUUGUUUGGGAAUGCAGUCCAAAAUGGGUGGUAAAUUUCAUCUAAAGCUAAAUAUUGGCGAGAGACCGAUAGGCGAACAAGUACCGUGAGGGAAAGAUGAAAAGAACUUUGAAAAGAGAGUUAAACAGUACGUGAAAUUGUCAAAAGGGAAGCGUUUGACACCAGUGUUGUUUUUCUGAAAAUCAAUUAAAGAACUGUUUAUGCUAAGUUGUUUAGACUUUAUCAGCUAUCUGUUUAGUUUUAGGCUUUUCUUUAAUGCACUUUUCAGUUAACAAGUCAACAUCAAUUUCUUUUGCUGUAAAAAAGCUUGAGGAAGGUGGCUUGAGAUUCGUCUUAAGUGUUUAUAGCCUCUUGCCUAUGCAGUCGGAGAGAUUGAGGUCUGCAGCGUAGAUCCUUCGGGGCUAAAUGCAUUUGUGCUAAGUUAUAGCAUUUUAUAGACAACUUGUUGACUAUGAUUUGUCUUGUAGCUUACUCGCUUAUGUUAUUUUACCUACGCUUAGGAUGUUGAUCUACAGAGCGAGAGU